rnacentral:misc_RNA from 1 species
AUCGUACACAAGUGCAUACGUGGUGCUUUUGGCAUCGUUUGUUCCUCAUUCCUAAUUUUUCCCUACUCCAUGAAUGCACUCAACAAGUCAUGCCUUCCGUUAGAAAACUUUUGCCUGGAACUGUACAGCCCCCAAGGAUUAAGGAUAUGCUGGAUAAUAUUCAAAGACUGCACCUAGUCCUUGGAGUAGAGUCCUCGGCACUUCAAGGCCUACGGAGUCGGGACCGUGCUUAUCGGGACUUAUCGCAGACCCCCUUCAGACCAUUGUCGUGCCGUCGUGAUCCUUGGAAAAGUCAAGACCAGAAGCACUUUGAAGAUUUGUAGUUUCGAUUGUGAUAAGACUUUUGUGAAAUUUAAUGUACAAUCAGCGACCAAAAAAAAAUCCUCACACUUCCACAAAUGUUAUCCGAUUUGUUUAAUUUCUUUUUCUUCGUGUCAAUAAAUCAAUUUUUAACGAAAGU